GGUAACGCUGGCGGCGUGCUUACACCUGCAAGGUUAAACGAACCUUCGGGUUAGUGCCGGACGGGUGAGUAACGCGUGAGAAUCUGCCUCAGGAGGGGGACAACAGCUGGAAACGGCUGCUAAUACCCCAUAUGCCGCGAGGUGAAAUGAAUUUCGCCUGAGGAUGAGCUCGCGUCUGAUUAGCUAGUUGGUGUAACGUAAUGGCUCACCAAGGCAUCGAUCAGUAGCUGGUCUGAGAGGAUGAUCAGCCACACUGGGACUGAGACACGGCCAGACUCCUACGGGAGGCAGCAGUGGGGAAUUUUCCGCAAUGGGCGAAAGCCUGACGGAGCAACGCCGCGUGAGGGAUGAAGGCCUCUGGGCUGUAAACCUCUUUUAUCAAGGAAGAAGAUCUGACGGUACUUGAUGAAUAAGCCACGGCUAAUUCCGUGCCAGCAGCCGACAGGAUAAUACGGGAGUGGCAAGCGUUAUCCAGGAAUUAUUGGGCGUAAAGCAGUCCGCAGGCGGCCUUCAAGUCUGCAUGUUAAAAAGUGGAGCUUAACUCCAUCAUGGACAGUGGAA
rnacentral:rRNA from 1 species